rnacentral:rRNA from 1 species
UAGGGAAUCUUCGGCAAUGGACGAAAGUCUGACCGAGCAACGCCGCGUGAGUGAAGAAGGGUUUCGGAUCGUAAAACUCUGUUGGUAUAGAAGAACAAGGACGUUAGUAACUGAACGUCCCCUGACGGUAUCUAACCAGAAAGCCACGGCUAACUACCUGCCAGCAGCCGCGGUAAUACGUAGGUGGCAAGCGUUGUCCGGGUUUAUUGGGCGUAAAGCGAGCGCAGGCGGGUUCUUAACGCUGAUGUGAAAGCCCCCGGCUCAACCGGGGAGGGUCAUUGGAAACUGGGAGUCUUGUGUGCAGAAGAGGGGAGUGGAAUUCCAUGUGUAGCGGUGAAAUGCGUAGAUAUAUGGAGGAACACCAGUGGCGAAGGCGGCUCUCUGGUCUGUAACUGACGCUGAGGCUCGAAAGCGUGGGGAAAAAACAG